UGCAAAUCAGUUCUGGACAACGAGGUGCCCCUAGAGGCACCAGCUGAAGUUUCUGAGAAAGCUUGUUGGAGGAGGCAUAUUCAGCUUGCAUUCACCCUUUUAGUUUUUGCCACUUAGCCUUUGCCUUCUCCUUUCUUUCUGCCCCAAAAUUGGUUUUGAUGCACAAAGGAGAAUUGCCAUGUUGUAAACAUGAGGAAGAAAGUCCCCAAAGAAGGACCCUGGGUUCUUGAUGGCAUCGUGAGGUCCCCAUACCCACCCUGAAGUACUUGCUGCUAGACUUCUUAUUCCAUGAGAAAAAUAAAUCCCUCAUUUGGUUAAGCCAUUGAGGUUGGAUUUCUGUUAUUUGCAGUUAAGACAAUCCUAAAUAACACAUACUUCAGAGAGUUGUUGUGAAAAUAAAAUAAGCUUAUUACAUUGCCUGGCACAAAGCAAAUACACGUGAAUGGUUUGUGAUGAUCACUAUCAUGAAUAUUAUCAUUAUUAGCUAUUGUCAUUGGUCAAUAGAGACAGGAGCAAGAACAGGUAGCAAUGGCAAUCCUACUGAUCUCUAGUAGCACUAGUACAAAAAUAUCUGUGAUCUCUCAAGCACAUACACAAAAAGUCACUUGCAGAUGUGUGGACAAGAAAUGUCUCUGUUAGCAGCUCAUGAAGCCAGUUCUUUAAACACUUGUCAGAUCCCAGAAGCACAGAGAAAUGAAAUUCCACUUGAGAGCAAGCUCUUUCUGUCUUGGAGGACUUGCCUGAUUUCCUUCCUGGAAGGAGAAUCCAUCGAUAGUGUAUAAUGUAUCCCCUGGAAUUGUGGGCUUCUCUGAAUGACAAAGCACAACACUUCAAGGAUGUCAUUAUUUCACAGGAACCCAGUUUCUGCUAAGGAAUCAAAGCCAUGCCUAAAAUCAGCUGACCACAGGGGCACAAGUUCAGAUGCAGCUCUGGGAAACGUAACUAACUUCCAUCACUUAACUGAACUGCCUGCCAAGAUCAGACACACAUGGGGCUUACUUGGAGUCCUCUAAGCCGUAGAUCCAUCCCACCCCCACAUCCACUUUGAGUCUGCAGAUAUAGAGUGUGGGGAGUGAAAAAGAAAACAAAACAAUCGCCGGUGGGUCUUGGAGUCAAGCGGACCUAGGGUUCAAAUCUUAGCAUGUCACUUACAAGUGGGGUAACUCUGGGCAAUUAUCCUUCCCUCAAGGUUCAUUUCACAGGUUUACAGGGAAUUAAAGGAAAAGAUGUGUGUGACAGUGCCUGGCACAGAGUUGUCAUUCAUUUCCUUUCCUUCCCUAACAGUAGGAUGGCCCUGGCUGACUUGCUUCAUCCAUCCCCACCCGAAGCUCAAGCAGUGGAUCCAGCUCAGGUCACUGCCACCAAGUGCAGCAUACUGUUUUCUGCCCUGUGCGUCAUCAUCCAUGUUUUCAGGCCACACUUGGGGAGCCAAAGCCUUCCCCGAAGCUGAGGUCAUAAAGCAGAAAAAGACAAAGCUCUGCUUUCAGAGAGCAGGUUGGCCGUGAGCAAAGCCAUCUCUUUGUAGCCAACCUGCCCCCUGGGUAUGGAAGGCCCAGGAAACCCAGCAGGAAAGAGCUGGCUCACUUGCUCUCCCACCCAUCAGUCAUUAAAUGACCCAUGGACAGAGCUAAGGAGUGGGGAGCUACUUCACCUAGUCUCCUCGUCCUCUGGACACAGCACUCUCAUGCCCCAGCCUCACACAGGAUGGAAUAUGACAGUCACAAGAUUCACACUUCAAGCCAUGAAGCAUACUCUUCUUGCUACAUCACCUGGCAGGUGUCCUUGACAUCUGGCUUCACAGCUACAGUGGUGUACACAGCAUUUUGCUUACCUCCAUGUCAUGGGAACUGCCACUAACAUUUUCCCC
rnacentral:lncRNA from 1 species